CCUACGGGGGGCAGCAGUGGGGAAUAUUGGACAAUGGGGGGAACCCUGAUCCAGCCAUGCCGCGUGUGUGAAGAAGGCCCUCGGGUUGUAAAGCACUUUCAGUGAGGAAGAACGCCUGGUGGUUAAUACCCAUCAGGAAAGACAUCACUCACAGAAGAAGCACCGGCUAACUCCGUGCCAGCAGCCGCGGUAAUACGGAGGGUGCGAGCGUUAAUCGGAAUUACUGGGCGUAAAGCGCGCGUAGGUGGCUUGAUAAGCCGGUUGUGAAAGCCCCGGGCGCAACCUGGGAACGGCAUCCGGAACUGUCAAGCUAGAGUGCAGGAGAGGAAGGUAGAAUUCCCGGUGUAGAGGUGAAAUGCGUAGAGAUCGGGAGGAAUACCAGUGGCGAAGGCGGCCUUCUGGACUGACACUGACACUGAGGUGCGAAAGCGUGGGUAGCAAACAGGAUUAGAUACCCCAGUAGUC
rnacentral:rRNA from 1 species